rnacentral:lncRNA from 1 species
CAUUAAUCAAAGUAGUGACAGCGACUAACAGUAACACUAGAUAGUGUACUGUUUAAGUGUAUUUAACUUGUAAGUUGUAAGGCUUUUGAACUUAAACUUAAGUAAGCCUUGUAUUUUCUACUCCAUUAUGCACUGUACAAUCAUAACCUUUGAUUUAAUUAUAAUUUUGAUCAAUCAAGUUAAUUGUCUAGCCCUACUGACAGUACUGCUAUGAUGUUUUGUGGUUGAAAGUUCAACUUCAGUAUUGUCUGUAGUAAACCGGUUUCUGGCAACAUUCUAAUGUUCUCUGUACAAACAACCGAAUAUCAGAGGAACAGGAGAAGAUACAGCAAUGGAUCUAGAUUAUUAAACAUGAAUACUGGCAGCCAUCGAAUAUUGGCUGUUCAUUUUGUUAAAGAUCAUGAAAAGUGAAAUAAAAUUUGUUUA